UUUUUUUUAUUUAUUUAAUUUUAUUUUUGGCUUUUUAGUAUGGCACCCAUGGCAUAUGGAAGUUCCCAGGCUAGGAGUUGAAUUAGAGCUGCAGCUCUGUGACCUACACCACCUACAGCUCACGGCAACGCCAGGGAUUGAACCCUCAUCCUCAUGGAUACCAGUCGGGUUCGUUACCCUUGAGCCACAACGGGAACUCCUACUUUGUAGAUCUUAACAUUAGUGAGCAGGUUCCCAGGUCCUGAGAUGAUGUAAGCAACUUCCGGGUCCAUGUGUGCUUUGGAUCGUUUUUAGUGGGUGAGGAAGCAUUCACAUUCUGAACCCACUUCUCUCCUAUUCCUCUGCUUCCCAUGGAAAAGUCAGCUCAUGUGAUUCCAAACAGGCAGGAGUUUGUUUCUGUUUUUUAAAUAAGUUCUUUUGUAUCAUUUUUAUUACAUGCCAUAGAUAAGUGAUUACAUAUGAUAUUUGUCUUUCUCUGUCUGACUUACUUGACUCAGGAUGAUCGUCUGUAGGUCUAUCCAUGUUGCAAACUCACAGAUUUCAAAACCAAUCUUACGGUUACCAAGAGGUGAAACCAUCAGGGAGAGGGAAGAAUUGGGUCGGGGGGUGGGGGGAAGAACAUAUACACACUACUGUAUAAAACAGAUGCUUAACAAGAACCUACUGUACAGGAAAAUCUACUCAUGAGUUGGUAAUAACCUAGAUGAGAAAAAAGAAUGGAUAUAUUUGUACAUUGGACUGAUUCCCUUUGCUGUACACCUGAAACCAAUACAAUAAGUCAACCAUACUCCAACAAAAAUAAAAAUAAAAAAGAAUCAGUGUUAAGUAGUUGGAAAGUCAACAACCAGCCACUGCUGAUGAGAAUUAUAUCCAUUUCUACUCAUUCAGGAUGGAACUCUAAAGAUUCUGAAGCCUUUGAAAAUCGAAUGCAUGUGUAUUUUCGAUUUUGUUUUGAGUGGUAUAAAAACUCAAUCCUAAGAGGUCAAAAUUAAGAUAAAAGACUAUAGUUUUCCUCUCCGCCCGUUCUCUGUUCCCAGGUCUCACGUGCACAGAAGUUCGUGUUAAUCUCCUCUUCUUAUGUGCCCUGUGCAUGCCACAAGUAGACGGGGUUCCUUACUUGACUGGCCCACAGACAGCCCUCUUCUUGCUGUGUCUUCACGCAGCAGAGAGAGAAAGCUCUGGGGUUGCUUCCUCCUCUGAGAAGAGCAUGAGUCCCAUCAUGGGUCUGCACCUUCAUGAAUUCGUCUAAACCUAAUGCUGCCCACUUCCAAAUUCCAUCAUACCGGAGGUUUCAACAUACGAAUUUGGGCGCGGGGACGACACAAACAUUCAGCCUAUAACAGAGGGUCUGAGACAUCUUCCAUCAGUGGUUCUAACGACAGACACAUAAACACAGGCAACUAAGCACCUCUGCUCCACUUGCCCAUUUAACUUCAGUUUCCGCAAAUCAAAUAUUAUUUGAAAAACAUGUCUAAAAGGAAAGAGUCAGAGAAUAGGAAAGAUAGAGAGUUGGCUAGAAUGUUCCAUUUCCUUUCUGCCUUGGCAAUGUAACAGAGCAGGGCCCUGUGUGGCUCUGGGGCACAAAAGCCUUUCUGUAUUCUCCAUUUCUUGAUUUUAGAAAUGGGCCGUGGGGUUCCUGUUGUGGCUCAGCAGUAAUAAACCUGACUAGUAUCCAUGAGGAUGCAGGCUGGCCUUGCUCAGUGGGUCAAGGAUCUGGCGUUGCUGUGGCUGUGGUGUAGGCCAGCAGCUGCAGCUCUGAUUUGACACCUAGCCUGGGAAUUUCCACAUGCCAUGGGUGCAGCCCUAAAAAGAAAAAAGAAAAAAGAAAAAAAAGCAAGGAAAUGGGUCUCAUUCAAACUCCACGACCUUCCCUGAGUUCCAAGGGGCAGGUGCAGACAGGUGCUGAUCCGGAAGGGGAGGGGAUGCAGAGACAAGGGAGGAACGGUCAAGGAAUGAGAGUACAGCCUUGGGGCAGGAUCCUGGUCCCCUCUCAAGGGAUGCACAUAAUGACAGAGGCAUCAUCACCAACAGCAACUUUAACGACUUCAACACUAACCAGCAACAAGGUACAGAAAUAUCUCUGGCUCUCUAUUCAUUCCCUUUACAGAUCCUAGAAUAGAUGAACCCCUCUUGCUUUACCAUCCUCUUAUUUCAAACUACGUCUUGUGUCCUUCUUCUCAUUACAGUAAACUACCCUGUGUCCACUUCUGCUGGCUGGCCCACAGCCACAUCUUCUUUUUUUUUUUUAAUGGCCACACCCCUGACAUAUGGAAGGUCCUGGUCCUGGGACUGAAUCUGAGCAAUCUACGUCACAGCUGCAGCAAUUCUGGAUCCUUUAACCCACGGUGCCUGCUGGGGAUCGAACCCAUGCCUCCACAGCAACCAGAGCUGCUGUAGUGAGAUUCUCAACCCACUGCACCACAGCAGGCACUCCAGCCAACAGCUACGUCUAUUUCUUGGAUUAAAGGUGCCGAAGGCUGCAACACGGGGCAUUGUUAAGACUUGAGUGGGAAAAAAUGAAUUAUUGUUGCUAAUAUGAAAUGAAUGCUUGCUAUUUAAUGGAUCCUUUGAUAAGAAUUGCAUGCAGAUUAUUUAAUUUUCUCAUAUGGGGAAAGUACUACUAGAAUUCGUGUUUUUCAGGUAGGUUAAUAGAGAUGUAGUGGUAUUAAGUAACUUGCCAAGCUUCUCAGAAGCAGCAAGUGGGGAAAUGAGAAUUCAUUUGCAAAUUUGGCUCAUUCAAGGGAGAUGCUGGAUGCUUAACCUUUCUAUUUUGCUACCAUCUUAUUUAUGAGGGCUAUCAUAGGAGUUUCCCUUGGGUCAGUGGGUUAAGAAACCUACUAGUCUCCAUUAGGAUGAGGGUUCAAUCCCUGGCCUCACUCAGUGGGUUAAGGAUCGGGCAUUGCUGUGGCUGUGGGAUAGGCCAGCAGCUCCAGCUCCAGUUCGAUUCCCUAACCCAAGAACGUCCAUAUGCCCCAGGUGUGACCCUAAAUAGCAAAAAAACAAAAAAACAAAAAAAAAGAGGGCUAUCACAAGCCACAUAAUUUAUUAUCUAAACUGAGACACUUGUAUGUUAACAAUUACAUUGGGAUACCUUUCCUGAGAGCGCCUCCCUUCUCUAAAUGCUCAGUAGUUUCUCCGGAACGGGAACCUUUGCAGCUGGCCCAAAGCUCGGAAUUAUGGGGCUCACAAAAGUGAAUAGCUGCCUUCAGAGAGUGUUUCCUUGUACAAAACCACAGUCAGGAGCCAAUGCCAUUCCAGAAAGAGCCCCCUCCCCUCCGCUUGCCCAUCAGAAAGCAAGGCUCACAGAAUGCCUCUUCUUUGCAAGAACUUGUCUUUCUUUGCAAGACCAAGAUGGGAAUUCACAAAACAUCCUCAUGUUAGCACAUCUCCAAGCUGAAACCUGAUUGCUUUAUGGGGAAUUCCCUUCGGAGUUGUUCCUGCUGGUUAGAAGGCAAUCGUUAAAUACAAGUUCAUAGUAAGAGCAAGCCAUGAAAAAAAAAUGCUUUUUAAGGCCAGAUAAUACAGACUCUAACGAAAGCUUUUUUCCUUUGGUAAAUUUAAAACAGUGUGACCUUUAGAUGUUUUCAUGAAGCUAAUGAUCCUUAAAGGGGCUGCUUCCUUAUCUUGAUGGUUUGUAUGCCAAGCAGUGUGUACACAAAACUCACCAUCUUAGAAAUCCCUGGUCUUUUCACAAAGUCCUUUUCAAAAGACAGUUUUUGCUUCAUCUAUUUUCUGUUUAACCCAAAGAUGCAGAUGAAAGAUACAGGCAGACUUGGAGAUGAUGGGUAGGGUUUGGGUUCUUUUUUCCUCCUUCUGGAGAUGAUGGGUAGGGUUUGGGUUCUUUUUUCCUCCCUCUAACACCCAUUCAUAGCUUUCAUUACUACACAAUAACUAUUGAUAUAUUUUAUUAUUGUUUUGUCAUAGCUUGAAACUUAAAGGCAGCCACCCCAUGCACAACAUCGAAAUGGUAGAAAGUAGUUUCCAUUUCACAAAACAUGAAAAAAUAAUCAGAAGAGAUUGAAGUCAUAAAGGACCACCAGAGAUAAGGUGAGUAAAGCCAUUUUUUAAUAUAAAGAAAAAUGCACAUUAUGCAGAAAAGGACUGGUGAAAGAAAAGGAGAGAUGGGCUGUUUUAUAUAAAAAUAUCACCCAUUAGCCUCUCUUUCAAUGCUUCUAUUUCCAUAUUUACCCAAAGAUGUUGUGCCAGUCAAUAUUGCUUCCUUUUUUUUUUCCUGCUUUUUUUUUCCAAUGUAUUCUUUAUUUGAUCAGACAUUUCUGGAGGAGAACAAAAUGAGCUAGCUUUAUCAGGCAAUGCCUUAACAUUAAGUUAUUUCAAAGGCAAGAGAACUGUCAAAAAUAAAUAGGACUACACACAAGAAAGAGAUAAUUUUUUUUUUUUUUUUGUCUUUUUGCUAUUUCUUGGGCCGCUCCCUCGGCAUAUGGAGCGGCCCAAGAAAUGGCAAAAAAUAAAUAAAUAAAUAGAAUUUUUAAAAAAGAGUUCAUUGACUUAAAAGGACAGAGCAGAGUCCUUUGUUGUCUGAAGAAUGUAACUUUGUCUAAAGAAUGUAACCCUCACUCAAAAGUAAAACGAUGUUACUAAACUAUAGCUACACCUUAGAACUGCUUGUCAAGGAUUCUGGGUCUCCUAGUUAAAAAGGUAGAUUAGGGAAGGCACCAGGCCUUUGGGCUUGUUACAGAGACAAAACAGAACAAACAAAAACCAACCAAUUUAAGUCUCCUUGAUAGAACCCCAAGGUCUGAACCAUAAUUGACAAGAGAAUAACUUGGUCACUUCUUCCCCAAAUGAUUUGAUCUGCGGACGCCUCAUCCAUCAUCUGAAAUCUGAGUCUCACGCUUGGGCAUUGCUGGCUGGCAGGAAACAUGGUCCUCCUUCAUCAAACAUCUUUAAAAGGAGGACACCUGGCUGGCCACCCAGUCCCAUUGUUUCUCAGAGUCCUGGCUGACAUCACCGUGCUCUGCCCAGAGCAUCCUUUCCUGCAUCCUUGUACUGAGCCGGGGCUUCUCCAUCUCUGUGUACUGACUCCUUCUCUCUCUCUCUCUCUCUCCUCAUGAGUCCCUCUUUGGCUGAGCAAGGUACCCAAAGUUUCAACUACCUCCUUGGUUGCAUAUAUUUCUGGCCCCAUCCAGCAAGGAUCUGUCCUCCUCCUCUGUCUCUCUUCCACUGGGAGGGAGACUGACACAAAGCUCUAAUCUACUGGCGUGUUAAACAACACUCUCCAUGGUAUUCUGCCUACCCAGUGCACCUGUCUCCUUGCUGGCCACUCUUGGACAUGCACACUGGAUCUCCCUACACAUGCCCCAAUCUUCCCCACCCCU
rnacentral:lncRNA from 1 species